rnacentral:rRNA from 1 species
GUCAUAUGCUUGUCUCAAAGAUUAAGCCAUGCAUGUCUCAGUACAAGCCAAAUUAAGGUGAAACCGCGAAAGGCUCAUUAAAUCAGUUAUGGUUCCUUAGAUCGUACCCACAAUUACUUGGAUAACUGUGGUAAUUCUAGAGCUAAUACAUGCAAACAGAGCUCCGACCGGAGACGGAAGGAGUGCUUUUAUUAGAUCAAAACCAAUCGGUGGCGGGUUCGCUCGUUAUCGUACAACUUGGUGACUCUGAAUAACUUUUCGCUGAUCGCACGGUCAUCGCACCGGCGACGCAUCUUUCAAAUGUCUGCCUUAUCAACUGUCGAUGGUAGGUUCUGCGCCUACCAUGGUUGUAACGGGUAACGGGGAAUCAGGGUUCGAUUCCGGAGAGGGAGCCUGAGAAACGGCUACCACAUCCAAGGAAGGCAGCAGGCGCGCAAAUUACCCACUCCCGGCACGGGGAGGUAGUGACGAAAAAUAACGAUACGGGACUCAUCCGAGGCCCCGUAAUCGGAAUGARUACACUCUAAACCCUUUAACGAGGAUCAAUUGGAGGGCAAGUCUGGUGCC